rnacentral:rRNA from 1 species
CAUACCUAUUCGAAGGGAUAGGGUCGGCUCGGCCGGAUUUUACACAAGUGUUGCAUGGCUGUCGUCAGCUCGUGUCGUGAGAUGUUGGGUUAAGUCCCGCAACGAGCGCAACCCUCAUCCUUAGUUACCAUCAGGUUAUGCUGGGGACUUUAAGGAAACUGCCAGUGAUAAACUGGAGGAAGGUGGGGAUGAUGUCAAGUCAUCAUGGCCCUUAUGGAGUGGGCUACACACGUGCUACAAUGGUGAUUACAAUGGGCUGCAAGGUUGCAAGGCUGAGCUAAUCCUAAAAAAUCAUCUCAGUUCGGAUUGUUCUCUGCAACUCGAGAGCAUGAAGUUGGAAUCGCUAGUAAUCGUGGAUCAGCAUGCCACGGUGAAUACGUUCUCGGGUCUUGUACACACUGCCCGUCACGCCAUGGGAAUUGGUUUCACUCGAAGCU